CGCCCGCCCGCGCGCGGCGGGGCGGGGCGGGGGCACGGGGGGACUCCUACGGGAGGCAGCAGUGGGGAAUCUUGCACAAUGGGGGCAACCCUGAUGCAGCGACGCCGCGUGAGCGAUGAAGCCCUUCGGGGUGUAAAGCUCUUUCGGCAGGGAAGAUAAUGACGGUACCUGCAGAAGCAGCUGCGGCUAACUACGUGCCAGCAGCCGCGGUAAUACGUAGGCAGCAAGCGUUGUUCGGAGUUACUGGGCGUAAAGGGUGUGUAGGCGGCCUUCUAAGUUUGGUGUGAAAUCUCCCGGCUCAACCGGGAGGGUGCGCCGAAGACUGGGGGGCUAGAGUACGGGAUGGGAGAGUAGAAUUCCUGGUGUAGCGGUGAAAUGCGUAGAUAUCAGGAGGAAUACCGGUGGUGUAGACGGCUCUCUGGACCGUAACUGACGCUGAGACACGAAAGCGUGGGUAGCAAACAGGAUUAGAUACCCUGGUAGUCCACGCCCUAAACGAUGCAUAUUUGGUGUGGGCCAUUCAUUUGGUCCGUGCCGGAGCUAACGCGUUAAAUAUGCCGCCUGGGGAGUACAGUCGCAAGGCUGAAACUCAAAGGAAUUGACGG
rnacentral:rRNA from 1 species